GCACUUCUGAGGAGUCCAACAACAGGAUGAAACGGCCGUCCAGUGC
rnacentral:hammerhead_ribozyme from 1 species